rnacentral:lncRNA from 1 species
GAUGGAAUUGUUUCUGAAGAAAAAAGAUACAUUUAGAACCAAUGCCAUCAAAAUCAUCAUCAAGAUUUUGGAUCUAUUCAACAAUCGUAUAUCUGAGAUCUGGGAAUAUCUGGACGAGAUACUCCACAGCAUCUGCUUUUUAGGCUGGAUUGAUCAGAUGAAGUGGACCCCAGAUAAAAUCUUUGGUAGAACUCUAACGGAUUCGAGGUUGGCUCAUCUAAGAGGAUGGCAGGUUUACAAUACUCGGCUUCCAAAACGGACUCCGUUUUCCUGUCUGCUGGAUAUGGUGGUCAUCUACUGCCAAGACCGUGAACCAAACACAAUACUGAGGGAGCUGCAGAACAUCACAGUAGAUCUGUCAGGGAAGGACCUAGUUGCCUCAACUAUCUGUAUGUCUCAAAAAAGGGGUGGUGGUGAAAGGUACUAUGGAGCAUCCAUGUCCUGUUCAGGGAGAAGGACGGGACAGAUCAUGGUCGCAGUGUCCUGCCUGGAAACCUGGCACUACAGUGUAUCCAACGCUGUGAUGACAUACAGACCAGAGAAGACGAACAACGACUUUAACGGCACCAUGAAUCUGGAUGAGCAUGUUGAGUGUCAAGCAUACGAUGUGAAUAGUGGUAGAGAGAAGCCUCCGUGCAAAUCCUGUAGUGAGAUGUUUGGCCUGAGUACAGAGGAAACGAAAGGAUGGACCCAUGGAAACUGUGCCGAGGCAGAAAGCUUGAGCAAACUCCUUGACAAUGAGGGAGACCUUGCUGAGGAAAACAUAGAUGGCAACAUACGACAGCAGGUGAUGGCAGAGGUAGAGAGAUUUCUGAGGAAGAGACUCAGAGAAAUCCAACAGUUUCAGUGGGAUGAUACAUUUUAUCUUCCGAAUAUAGUACUCUGAGGAUUACAAACAGCUGUUUAAAUAUGAACAGUAUGAAAUAUGAAAUAUGAGAAAUAGCAAUAAUCAGUUGGAAAUUUCCAGACUUAUGAAACAUUUUGAUUAUUGCUCUGAAAAUGCAUGGUGGUAUUUUCAACCUCUUGCAUACAGUAGAAAACAAUGUAACCACUGCGCUAUAGUCAUAAAGUAAUAUUACUAAACUCUGUCCAAUUAAUGUCCUAUUUGUGGGGAACUGUUCUGACUAGUAUGAAGACACUGAUUCAUAAUGUUUUUUGUGGUAAAAUACAUGUAAAUGUGGUUAUAAACUUCCCUUCAAUAUACGGUUUGCACUGAUGCACAUUUUACUCAACGGUAACAUAUGAUAACUUCUGGUCCGAAUUGAUGUCUUGGUUGACUCGCAUGAGUAAUUAAUUAAAGGUUUUUGGAUUACAUUUUGUUGCUGCGCAUGUUUGUUUGAUCUCAGAGUGUCUUUGAGUUUCAGUGUGUUCAGUUUGCAAAUGAAAGGAUGGAGAGGG